UUCUUAUUGGAUAAUAAUUUGUGUCAUGUUCUAAUUGACCAAUGACAACAAUAAUACAUUUCCAUGGAAUUGACAUUCAAUUAGAACAUGACACGUGGUAGUCAUCAUCC
rfam:Glycine soja cultivar W05 scaffold94_22, whole genome shotgun sequence.